rnacentral:lncRNA from 1 species
UGCGCGCGCCUGGGGCUCUCCCACAGGGGGCUUUCGUGAGCCAGGCAGCGAGGGCCGCCCCCGCGCUGCAGCCCAGCCAGGCCGCGCCGGCAGAGGGGAUCUCCCAACCUGCCCCGGCGCGCGGGGAUUUCGCCUACGCCGCCCCGGCUCCUCCGGACGGGGCGCUCUCCCACCCUCAGGCUCCUCGGUGGCCUCCGCACCCGGGCAAAAGCCGGGAGGACCGGGACCCGCAGCGCGACGGCCUGCCGGGCCCCUGCGCGGUGGCACAGCCUGGGCCCGCUCAAGCGGGGCCGCAGGGCCAAGGGGUGCUUGCGCCACCCACGUCCCAGGGGAGUCCGUGGUGGGGCUGGGGCCGGGGUCCCCAGGUCGCCGGGGCGGCGUGGGAACCCCAAGCCGGGGCAGCUCCACCUCCCCAGCCCGCGCCCCCGGACGCCUCCGCGCGGCAGGGGCAGAUGCAAGGCAUCCCGGCGCCCUCCCAGGCGCUCCAGGAGCCGGCGCCCUGGUCUGCACUCCCCUGCGGCCUGCUGCUGGAUGAGCUCCUGGCGAGCCCGGAGUUUCUGCAGCAGGCGCAACCUCUCCUAGAAACGGAGGCCCCGGGGGAGCUGGAGGCCUCGGAAGAGGCCGCCUCGCUGGAAGCACCCCUCAGCGAGGAAGAAUACCGGGCUCUGCUGGAGGAGCU